rnacentral:rRNA from 1 species
UACGUAGGGGGCAAGCGUUGUCCGGAUUUAUUGGGCGUAAAGAGCGUGUAGGCGGUUUGGUAGGUCCGCUGUGAAAACUCGAGCUCAACCUCGAGACGCCGGUGGAAACCAUCAGACUAGAGUCCGGAAGAGGAGAGUGGAAUUCCUGGUGUAGCGGUGAAAUGCGCAGAUAUCAGGAGGAACACCAAUGGGCGAAGGCAGCUCGCUGGGACGGUACUGGAACGCUGGAGGCGCGAAAGCGUGGGUAGCAAACAGG